rnacentral:sRNA from 12 species
CGCCUGAUUGGUCGGGUAACGGCAGCAAUCAGGGGAAAGCCGCACUGUGGGAUAGCUACGAGGCGCGGUAAGACUGGCGAAGGAAGCGGUCGAUAGCGUAAGGCUUCCGGGU